AUGAACGCUAGCGAUAGGCUUAACACAUGCAAGUCGAGGGGCAGCACAAGGUAGCUUGCUAUCUGGGUGGCGACCGGCGCACGGGUGCGUAACGCGUAUGCAACUUGCCCUAUACAGGAGGAUAACCCGUCGAAAGACGGACUAAUACUGCGUAUGCUCACAACUUGGCAUCAAGUGGUGAGGAAAGAAAUUCGGUAUAGGAUAGGCAUGCGUCCCAUUAGCUUGUUGGUGAGGUAACGGCGCACCAAGGCAACGAUGGGUAGGGGAACUGAGAGGUUUAUCCCCCACACGGGAACUGAGACACGGACCAGAGUCCUACGGGACGCAGCAGUGAGGAAUAUUGGUCAGUGGGCGCGAGCCUGAACCAGCCAAGUCGCGUGAAGGAUGACUGUCUUAUGGAUUGUAAGCUUCUUUUAUACGGGAAUAACAAGAGUCACGUGUGACUCCCUGCAUGUACCGUAUGAAUAAGCAUCGGCUAACUCCGUG
rnacentral:rRNA from 1 species